rnacentral:rRNA from 1 species
GAUGAACGCUAGCGGCAGGCCUAACACAUGCAAGUCGAGGGGCAGCACGUCUUCGGAUGGUGGCGACCGGCGCACGGGUGCGUAACGCGUAUGCAACCUACCUCUUACAGUGGGAUAGCCCAGAGAAAUUUGGAUUAAUACCGCAUAGUAUACAGAUUCAGCAUUGGGACUGUAUUAAACAUUUAUGGGUAAGAGAUGGGCAUGCGUUCUAUUAGUUAGUUGGAGUGGUAACGGCACCCCAAGACAGCGAUAGAUAGGGGCCCGUGAGAGGGGGAGUCCCCCACACUGGUACUGAGACGACGACCAGACUCCGUACGGGAGGCAGC